GUCAUAGCUCAGGCUGGAUAGAGUGCCUGGCUUCGAACCAGUAGGUUGGGGUUCAAGUCCCUCA
rnacentral:tRNA from 1 species